UGGGAAGGAUGCUAAUGGAACACAGAUCACUUGCCCUGGGAGAAGCUAGCGGCCAUGUCCUGGGGAGUCUUCAGGACCCACACCCAGAAGCCCACACGGUGAGGAACUGAGGUCUCCUGCCAGUAGGCAGUGAGGACUGAGGCCUCCUGCCAACAGGAACACGAGUAACUUUGGAAAUAGACCUCCUCCAACCCCAACCAAACCUUCAGUUUCCAUUUCUUAAGUGAGGAAUCCGACUGGCCCAGCUCAUCUUUUUGACCAAGUCUUAGAGAGCAACACAGGCCGCUGAACCUUGUAUGUGUUGCAUGCUUUUGGGCCAACUGCC